rnacentral:rRNA from 1 species
UAAGGAAUAUUGGGCAAUGGACGCAAGUCUGACCCAGCCAUGCCGCGUGGAGGAUGAAGGUCCUCUGGAUUGUAAACUUCUUUUAUCUGGGGCGAAAAAAGGGCAUUCUUGCUCACUUGACAGUACCAGAUGAAUAAGCACCGGCUAACUCCGUGCCAGCAGCCGCGGUAAUACGGAGGGUGCAAGCGUUAUCCGGAUUCACUGGGUUUAAAGGGUGCGUAGGAGGGCAGGUAAGUCAGUGGUGAAAUCCCCGAGCUUAACUUGGGAACUGCCGUUGAUACUAUCUGUCUUGAAUGUUGUGGAGGUGAGCGGAAUAUGUCAUGUAGCGGUGAAAUGCUUAGAUAUGACAUAGAACACCAAUUGCGAAGGCAGCUCGCUACACAAUUAUUGACUCUGAGGCACGAAAGCGUGGGGAUCAAACAG